UAUCAGAGGCAUUGCCUGCCCAGUGACUAAAGUUAAACGGCCGCGGUAUCCUGACCGUGCAAAGGUAGCAUAAUCACUUGUUCCUUAAUUAGGGACUAGAAUGAAUGGCUAAACGAGGGUUCAACUGUCUCUUACUUUCAAUCAGUGAAAUUGACCUUCCAGUGAAGAGGCUGGAAUCUCCCAAUAAGACGAGAAGACCCUAUGGAGCUUUAAUUUACUAGUUCAACUUAUAUAAAAACAACCUAAUGGGCUAAAACAAAAUAAAUAUGAACUAAAAAAUUUCGGUUGGGGUGACCUCGGAGAAUAAAAAAUCCUCCGAAUGAUUUUAACCUAGACUCACAAGUCAAAGUAAUACUAAUAUCUUAUUGACCCAAUUAUUGAUCAACGGACCAAGUUACCCUAGGGAUAACAGCGCAAUCCUAUUUAAGAGUUCAUAUCGACAAUUAGGGUUUACGACCUCGAUGUUGGAUCAGGACAUCCCAAUGGUGCAGAAGCUAUUAAUGGUUCGUUUGUUCAACGAUUAAAGUCCUACGUGAUCU
rnacentral:rRNA from 1 species